UUAAUUUAUUAUAUUUAAUUACUGAUAAAAUAAAUAAAUUUAUAAAUUAAUAUUAAUAAAAUUCUUAAAUAUAAAUUUAAUUUAAAUAUUUAAUCCUUUCGUACUAAAAUAUUUUAAUUUUUAAAAGAUAGAAACCAACCUGGCUCACACCGGUUUGAACUCAGAUCAUGUAAGAUUUUAAUGAUCGAACAGAUCAAAAAUUUUAAACUUCUGCAUUUAAAUUUUAUCUUAAUCCAACAUCGAGGUCGCAAACUCUUUUUUUUAUUUGAACUAAAAAAAAAAAUUACGCUGUUAUCCCUAAGGUAAUUUUUUCUUAUAAUCAAUAAUAUUGGAUCAUAUAAUCACUUAUAAAUGUAAUAUUUUAAAAAAAGUUUUUCUUAUUUUUCUGUCACCCCAACAAAAUAUUUUUUAAAAUUUUAAUUUUUUAACUUAUAAAUAAUCUUAAUUAUAAAAAAUAUAAAACUCUAUAGGGUCUUCUCGUCUUUUUAAAUUAUUUUAACUUUUUAAUUAAAAAAUUAAAUUCUAUUUAAUAAUUAAGAGACAGUAUAUAUUUCAUCCAAUCUUUCAUACAAGUCAUCAAUUAAAUGACUAUUGAUUAUGCUACCUUUGUACAGUCAAUAUACUGCAGCCCUUCAAUUAAAAUCAGUGGGCAGAUUAGACUUUAUAUUAACUUCAAAAAGACAUGUUUUUGAUAAACAAGUGAAUAUAAAAAUUUGCCGAAUUCCUUUUAAUUAAUUUUAAUAAAUAAUAAUAUUUUAUAUUAUAUAUUAUAUACUAAUUUUAUCAUUAUAACUAACCUAAUAAAAUUUAUAUUAUUUUUUUAUAAAAUUAUAAAAUUUUAAUUAAAUUUUAAUUUUAAUGAAAUUAUUUAUAAUAAAUUAAAUUUUAUUAACAAUAUAAAUUAUAAAAUUUUCAAUAAAAUUUUAAUUUAUUUAUAUAAAUUUAUUUUAAAGCUUAUCCCUUAAAAUAUAAUAUUAAAAAAAAAAUAAUUUAAUUAAUUAAAUUAUUUUUUUUUUUUAAUAUAAAAUUAAACUUUUUUCUAAAAAAACUAGAUAUAUUUAAAAACGAUUAACAUUUCAUUUCCAAUUAAUUAUUUAAAAUAUUUAUGCCACAAUAACUUUAUUAAUUAAUUAUCUCUUUUAAAUUCGAGAAAUUUUUAUCUAAAAAAUAUUUUUAAUAAACUCUGAUACCCAAGAUACGCUAAAUUAAAGCUACUUUAAAUUAAUUUAUUAUUUCAUUUAUUUAAAAAUUCUUUUACAAUACUAAUUUACUAUAAAUAUAUAAAUUUUUUCUAUAAAAAUACUUUAACCCCCAUUAAAUAUUUUUAUUAAAAAUUUUUUUAUUAUUUAUAAAUUAUUAAUUUUUCCC
rnacentral:rRNA from 1 species